AGUGAGCGCUGGCGGUAGGCCUAACACAUGCAAGUCGAACGGCAGCACAGGAGAGCUUGCUCUCUGGGUGGCGAGUGGCGGACGGGUGAGGAAUACAUCGGAAUCUACUCUGUCGUGGGGGAUAACGUAGGGAAACUUACGCUAAUACCGCAUACGACCUACGGGUGAAAGCAGGGGACCUUCGGGCCUUGCGCGAUUGAAUGAGCCGAUGUCGGAUAAGCUAGUUGGCGGGGUAAAGGCCCACCAAGGCGACGAUCCGUAGCUGGUUUGAGGGGAUGAGCAGCCACACUGGAACUGGGACACGGUCCAGACUCCUACGGGAGGCAGCAGUGGGGAAUAUUGGACAAUGGGCGCAAGCCUGAUCCAGACAUACCGCGUGGGUGAAGAAGGCCUUCGGGUUGUAAAGCCCUUUUGUUGGGAAAGAAAUCCAGCUGGCUAAUACCCGGUUGGGAUGACGGUACCCAAAGAAUAAGCACCGGCUAACUUCGUGCCAGCCGCCGCGGUAA
rnacentral:rRNA from 1 species